rnacentral:antisense_RNA from 1 species
CUUUAUGGGCGGCCCGUGUGGGAUGGCGCAAGCCAUGCCGGUACCUUAGUCCGGUCUGCUAACCCGCACGGUUCCGCCCUCCUUC